rnacentral:rRNA from 1 species
GAUGAACGCUGGCGGCGUGCCUAAUACAUGCAAGUCGAGCGAACAGACGAGGAGCUUGCUCCUCUGACGUUAGCGGCGGACGGGUGAGUAACACGUGGAUAACCUACCUAUAAGACUGGGAUAACUUCGGGAAACCGGAGCUAAUACCGGAUAAUAUAUUGAACCGCAUGGUUCAAUAGUGAAAGACGGUUUUGCUGUCACUUAUAGAUGGAUCCGCGCCGCAUUAGCUAGUUGGUAAGGUAACGGCUUACCAAGGCAACGAUGCGUAGCCGACCUGAGAGGGUGAUCGGCCACACUGGAACGGAGACACGGUCCAGACUCCUAAGGGAGGCAGCAGUAGGGAAUCUUCAGCAAUGGGCGAAAGCUUGACGGAGCAACGCCGCGUGAGUGAUGAAGGUCUUCGGAUCGUAAAACUCUGUUAUUAGGGAAGAACAAAUGUGUAAGUAACUAUGCACGUCUUGACGGUACCUAAUCAGAAAGCCACGGCUAACUACGUG